CCCGGUGUGGUCUCCUCCUUCUCCUCCUCCUCCUAGCAGUGCUCAUGGCCGUGAAGUGAAAACACACGCAGUGACUCCUUCCAAACAGAAAUCCCAAAAGGCGGUCCAGCUCCCGUGAUCUCUCUCUCCGUUUCCCUCCUAGCGGCAAACACACAAAAACACGCAGAGUAACUAAACAAUCCUCGGCUCAACAUGCUAUGUCCACACGUACACGGGUAUUUUUGAAAACGGAGAUUUUCCGUUUUCGUUUUAAAAAAUAAUCCCGUCCACACGUAAAGACAGAAAUGAAGGAAAACGCUGCUAGGAGCAUGCCAAAGCAGCAGGUGGCGCUAUAUUCCUAACCGUGUAGAAAUGUUGGCCAAUCAGAAGUCUAGAAGCCUCGGUGGGAAAUAGUAAACAAAGCUGAGGCAUAGAAGCAGAACCGAGUCGUAUGUGUGGAGGGACAGUAACUGUGUGUGUAUAUGUAAGCAUUUAAACACUGCAGAGAGUACAAUUAACACUAACAGUAUUGUAGAAAUUCAUUUCACCGAAACAACAACGUGGCGCACACUGUGACAUCAGAAAAGGCGCACACCUUUGACGCUGCGUUUUCUCCGUUUUUCUCGUCUACACGUAAAUGCAAAAACGGAGUUUUAGAAAAUAUCCACCCUGGCCGGAGUUUUUAGAAAUCUCCGUUUUCAGUGACCGAAAACGCCGUUUACGUGUGGACGAAAGGUGCAAACGCAUAGAAAAAUCUGCGUUUUCAAAAAUACCCGGGUACGUGUGGACAUAGCCUAACUGCCACAAAAACCGUCCGCGCUGCUCUACCGUGCUUCACACAAUGAUCCAGCGCUGACUGAAGCUCGAUCGCCCUGUUAAGAAGGCAGCCCGGGAGAUGGCGGAUAAUUGGUUACAGCUGGUCGGCUCCGAUCAACAACAGGUGCGGUCAGACUCAGCGCGGGAACACUCUCGGGAAUGCUCGUCACCGCUCGGAGGUAAACAACCCCGUUACGAGAGAGAGAGAGAGAGAAAAUGGGAGAGAAAGGAAGAGCGCAACAUGCACACAAUAACGCACGGGCAGGCAGCCAGGCAAGGGCUGUCGGACCAUGACACAACCUAUGUCUUGGAUUUUGUUUGCUUACCUGUUGUCCUGUAUCCUCAGCCGGAUCCAUCACCCGCUUACCUGUCAGCUGUUUUUGAAGCCACAUUUCCGGGAUCACUACGGAGAUCAAUCACAGCGUUUCUCCCACAUCCCGAGACUCCUCGCCCGAGCCUGUACAGCCAGUGUGACAAAUCCACCCUGCGUGCGCGGGUAACCCCUUUCCCUCCGAAUGCGUGUCAGCCUCCUGCCCUGGUUUCCCUCUGUUUAUUCAUCAGUAUUAUCUCAUCCCGUGUAAAUAAGUUUGACACAGUAAAUAAAGAGCACUCCCUGCAUUUUCUGCGCUUCUGUGUAUUCUGCCAUAGAGUCCGUUCACUCAGCAUAACAAUAGAGGUGUAGUUUAUGUCUGUGAACAGUGAACACCCGUGUGCACACCUGUGUGGAUCAGCCCGCUUGUAUUCAAAAGGUUUCCCCAUGUAAUGCUCUGCUAGAGGGUGUAGAGGGCCAUAGCCCCGCCAUAGCUGGACUGGCGAUUGGCGAUUUUUUGUUUUUAUGGGCCGAUGGAUUUUUUUUUUUUUUUUUUUUUUUUUUAGGAAGGGUAUAUAUAAUGAAAGGUGUUGGAUUGGCCAAUUGGUCAUGAUCGACUCUGGGCUGGACCAAUUACAGCCGAGGAGGCCGGAUGCACCCUCCCCCUUGUUUAGCAAUCUUAUAGACGAACUAAAGAAAAUGGAGAACAAAAAAAAGGAAAGGAGGUGUUUAUGAAAAUAUCACUAAAUCUGUCAUUUAUUAAUUUUAAUAUUAACUAGAAAAAUUUGCAUUUCCUGCGAAAAUGCAGUGUGGAUGCUGUAAUGCUGAAGCUGUCUGCUGAAACUAGCAGAAAAAGCUGAAAAGUUGCAGAAUUUGUAAAAACUUUGCAAAAGCAAAGGAACU
ensembl:lncRNA